UACGGGGGGGGCAAGCGUUGUUCGGAAUUACUGGGCGUAAAGGGUUCGUAGGUGGCCAACUAAGCCAGACGUGAAAUCCCUCAGCUUAACUGGGGAACUGCGUCUGGGACUGGAUGGCUUGAGUGCAGGAGAGGAACGCGGAAUUCCAGGUGUAGCGGUGAAAUACGUAGAUAUCUGGAGGAACACCGGUGGCGAAGGCGGCAUCCUGGACCAACACUGACGCUGAGGCGCGAAAGCUAGGGGAGCAAACGGG
rnacentral:rRNA from 1 species